rnacentral:rRNA from 1 species
GAUAAACGCUGGCGGCGUGCAUGAGACAUGCAAGUCGAACGAACGAGCUUGCUCGUUAGUGGCGGACGGCUGAGUAACGCGUAGGUGACCUGCCCCGAAGUGGGGGAUAACUGCCCAAAAGGGUGGCUAAUACCGCAUGUGGCGACGUCUUCAGUGACGUCAUCAAAGCCGCGAGGCGCUUCGGGAGGGGCCUGCGUCCGAUUAGCUCGUUGGUGGGGUAACGGCUCACCAAGGCGACGAUCGGUAGGUGGUCUGAGAGGACGAUCACCCAGACUGGGACUGAGACACGGCCCAGACUCCUACGGGAGGCAGCAGUCGGGAAUUUUGCUCAAUGGGCGCAAGCCUGAAGCAGCAACGCCGCGUGAGGGAUGAAGGCCUUCGGGUUGUAAACCUCUUUUUCCAGGGACGAUGAUGACGGUACCUGAAGAAUAAGUCACGGCUAACUACGUGCCAGCCGCCGCGGUAAAAC